UUAAGCAUAUCAAUAAGCGGAGGGAAAAGAAACUAACCAAGGAUUCCCCCUAGUAACUGCGAGUGAAGCGGGAAAAGCUCAAAUUUAAAAUCUGGCGGUCUCUGGCUGUCCGAGUUGUAAUCUAGAGAAGUGUUACCCGCGCUGGACCGUGUACAAGUCUCCUGGAAUGGAGCGUCAUAGAGGGUGAGAAUCCCGUCUCUGACACGGACUACCAGGGCUUUGUGGUAUGCUCUCAAAGAGUCGAGUUGUUUGGGAAUGCAGCUCAAAAUGGGUGGUAAAUUCCAUCUAAAGCUAAAUAUUGGCGAGAGACCGAUAGCGAACAAGUACCGUGAGGGAAAGAUGAAAAGAACUUUGGAAAGAGAGUUAAACAGUACGUGAAAUUGCUGAAAGGGAAACGCUUGAAGUCAGUCGCGUCGUCUGGGGAUCAGCCUCGCAUUGCGUGGUGCACUUUCCGGUCGACGGGUCAGCAUCAAUUUUGACCGCUGGAAAAAGGCUUGGGGAAUGUGACAGCUUCGGCUGUGUUAUAGCCUCUUGCCACAUACAGCGGUUGGGAUUGAGGAACUCAGCACGCCGAAAGGCCGGGUUUCGACCACGUCCGUGCUUAGGAUGCUGGCAUAAUGGCUUUAAGCGACCCGUCUUGAAACACGGACCAAGGAGUCUAACAUGCUUGCGAGUG
rnacentral:rRNA from 1 species